GACGAACGCUGGCGGCGUGCUUAACACAUGCAAGUCGAACGGAAAGGCCCUGCUUUUGUGGGGUGCUCGAGUGGCGAACGGGUGAGUAACACGUGAGUAACCUGCCCUUGACUUUGGGAUAACUUCAGGAGACUGGGGCUAAUACCGGAUAGGAGCUCCUGCUGCAUGGUGGGGGUUGGAAAGUUUCGGCGGUUGGGGAUGGACUCGCGGCUUAUCAGCUUGUUGGUGGGGUAGUGGCUUACCAAGGCUUUGACGGGUAGCCGGCCUGAGAGGGUGACCGGCCACAUUGGGACUGAGAUACGGCCCAGACUCCUUCGGGAGGCAGCAGUGGGGAAUAUUGCACAAUGGGCGGAAGCCUGAUGCAGCAACGCCGCGUGCGGGAUGACGGCCUUCGGGUUGUAAACCGCUUUCGCCUGUGACGAAGCGUGAGUGACGGUAAUGGGUAAAGAAGCACCGGCUAACUACGUG
rnacentral:rRNA from 1 species